UACGAAGGGUGCAAGCGUUAAUCGGAAUUACUGGGCGUAAAGCGUGCGUAGGCGGUUUCUUAAGUCUGCUGUGAAAGCCCUGGGCUCAACCUGGGAAUGGCGGUGGAUACUGAGAAGCUGGAGUACGGUAGAGGAAGGUGGAAUUUCCGGUGUAGCGGUGAAAUGCGUAGAGAUCGGGAGGAACAUCAGUGGCGAAGGCGGCCUUCUGGACCAGUACUGACGCUGAGGCACGAAAGCGUGGGGAGCAAACAGG
rnacentral:rRNA from 1 species